AGAAAACACAAGACAAGAAAUGAAAGUAUGAGGCAGGAAGGGACAGCACACUCUGCAAUAAGUACGCAAGCGUAAAGGGAGAACGAGAUAUUGUUACUCUGGAUCUGAUGCAGCAUUAAAAAAACAUAAUAAGGAUGCCGUGCACAAUCCUGAUUUGAUGGAGACAGAUGUGAGAGCACUGAGGAACAUCUGGUGAAACUUCUGAAAUGCCUUCUUCGCUGCCACUGCUACUGUGUGAUCCAGAAUCUCUGGAGGAGAAGGCCCCAAAUCCUUGGCUUUGCUCAUUGCUCGGCGGCCGGGGUGGGGUCAAAGCGCUCGGUAGAGGAUGGUGCUCAGUGCUCGGUGUUGGAGGGCUGGUCGGAGGCUCGAAGUUUUCGGACGGACUCAGAGUCGGCUGUGGUCGGGUGCUUUCAAUGCAUCGGCAGUUGUCGGCGCCUGGAGGCUUACGGCAGGGAGAGUUUCUCCCUUUUGCCACCU